rnacentral:rRNA from 1 species
CGGGGUGAGUAAUGUAUGGGGAUCUGCCUGAUGGGGGGGGAGUAACUACUGGAAACGGUAGCUAAUACCGCAUAAUGUCUGCGGACCAAAAGGGGGGACCUCCGGGGCCUCGCGCCAUCAGAUGAACCCAUAUGGGAUUAGCUUGUAGGUAAGGUAACGGCUUACCUAGGCGACGAUCCCUAGCUGGUCUGAGAGGAUGAUCAGCCACACUGGGACUGAGACACGGCCCAG